AGGGUUUGAUUCUGGCUCAGGACGAACGCUGGCGGCAUGCCUAACACAUGCAAGUCGAACGGAGUUGUUAUACAGAAGUUCUUCGGGAUGGAAGUAUAAGAACUUAGUGGCGGACGGGUGAGUAACGCGUGGGUAACCUGCCCUUUUGUGGGGAACAACUUCGAGAAAUCGGAGCUAAUACCGCAUAAUAAUAGAGAAUCGCAUGAUUCUUUAAGGAAAGAUGGCCUCUGAAGAUGCUAUCGCAAAAGGAUGGACCCGCGUCUGAUUAGCUAGUUGGAAGGGUAACGGCCUACCAAGGCGACGAUCAGUAGCCGGCCUGAGAGGGUGAACGGCCACAUUGGGACUGAGACACGGCCCAA
rnacentral:rRNA from 1 species